rnacentral:rRNA from 1 species
AUCUGGGCGGCGGAAUUCAGGAUGGCCGGCGUGCUUUCGCAGUGUGUCGGUCGUUUGAUAUUUCCGUCGCCGAUUACCGCAGACGUCGCGACCUGUUCGCGGUCGGUCCCUGCUCGGAGGAGCCGUGUUCGAGUUCGUUGUGUACGUGUUUCGGCGCGUCACACGGCGAAGACGCGGAUCUCUGGCUGGCCGUCGGACAGUAUGCUUAACGGUGUCCGGUGUCGUCGUCUCGUACGCGCGGCAUCGGUACCGGUCAGUGACGAAUUCUUCGGGCCUCUUUCCGACCCGUCUUGAAACACGGACCAAGGAGUCUAACAUGCGCGCGAGUCGCGGGGUGUCGAGCGUACUUCGGUGCGUUCGUUACGUUGCGAAACCCGUACAUGUUGAAGGCGUAAUGAAAGUGAAUGGGGAAGAUGGUGUUUUCCGAGUACACGUUCCGCGAUCGGUGGUAUCGCGGCCGGACACCCGCAUUCCCGGGGCGUCUCAACGGCCCGUCGCUGAUGCGGACAGUCGUCUCUCGGGGCGGCUGUCGGUCGGCGAUGAACCGA